rnacentral:rRNA from 1 species
CGCACGGGUGCGUAACGCGUAUGCAAUCUACCUUUUACUAUGGGAUAGCCCAGAGAAAUUUGGAUUAAUACCAUAUAGUAUAUUUGAAUGGCAUCGUUUGAAUAUUAAAGAUUUAUCGGUAAAAGAUGAGCAUGCGUCCCAUUAGUUAGUUGGUGUGGCAACGGCAUACCAAGACGAUGAUGGGUAGGGGUCCUGAGAGGGAGAUCCCCCACACUGGUACUGAGACACGGACCAGAUUCCUACGGGAGGCAGCAGUGAGGAAUAUUGGUCAAUGGAGGCAACUCUGAACCAGCCAUGCCGCGUGCAGGAUGACGGUCCUAUGGAUUGUAAACUGCUUUUGUACGGGNAAGAAAACAACUACGAGUAGUUAAUUGACGGUACCGUAAGAAUAAGGAUCGGCUAACUCCGUGUCAGCAGCCGCGGUAAUACGGGAGGAUCCAAGCGUUAUCCGGAAUCAUUGGGUUUAAAGGGUCCGUAGGCGGCCUUAUAAGUCAGUGGNGAAAGUUUUUGGCUUAACCAAAAAAUUGCCAUUGAUACUGUAGGGCUUGAAUAUCUGUGAAGUAACUAGAAUAUGUAGUGUAGCGGUGAAAUGCUUAGAUAUUACAUGGAAUACCGAUUGCGAAGGCAGGUUACUAACAGAUGAUUGACGCUGAUGGACGAAAGCGUGGGUAGCGAACAGGAUUAGAUACCCUGGUAGUCCACGCCGUAAACGAUGGAUACUAGCUGUUUCGGUUUUCGGACUGAGUGGCUAAGCGAAAGUGAUAAGUAUCCCACCUGGGGAGUACGGUCGCAAGACUGAAACUCAAAGGAAUUGACGGGGGCCCGCACAAGCGGUGGAGCAUGUGGUUUAAUUCCGAUGAUACGCGAGGAACCUUACCAGGGCUUAAAUGUAGAUUGACAGAUUUGGAAACAGAUUUUUCUUCGGACAAUUUACAAGGUGCUGCAUGGUUGUCGUCAGCUCGUGCCGUGAGGUGUCAGGUUAAGUCCUAUAACGAGCGCAACCCUGUUGUUAGUUGCNGCNCGUAAUGGUGGGAACUCUAGCAAGACUGCC